UUUGCGGUCGUCGUAGCCGAACUUGGCUUUAAUCCGCUUUCAUAGGCAGGGCGGAACACAAGGAUGUGUUCCGCCGGCCAUGCGACAAGGAUGUCGCUUUGGCCGGACACCCUGCCCUCUUGCAUCAAGGAUAAAAGCCCUAGUUUGGCACGACGAUCGCAUG
rfam:Desulfosporosinus sp. BRH_c37 BRHa_1005188, whole genome shotgun sequence.